GUCAGCGGCCAGAGCACCUGCAGGUCAGACCUGGUAAUCAUGUGAAGUUAAGCAGGUUUGGGCCUGGCCAGUACUUGGAUGGGAGACCAACUAGGAAAGCUGGGUUGAUGCUGUAA
rnacentral:rRNA from 1 species